UGGAGGACAGAGAAGGUAAGGCAGUUGUGUUCCGUGCUGCCCUCUACUGGUUAUUGCCUCCGACAGCAAAGUGAUGCCAGAAACAUUUGCUUUUCUCUUCUUUCCUCCAUGGAAGGGAAUGAGCAAUGCUUCCCUUGC